AGGUUGGAGAUGCCCUUACUGUAGCUGAGUGAUGCAUGGGACCAUACCGUGCUGAGGACCACAGGGCAGUGGCUCUGUGGUGGCACAUGCUCAGCCUAGUCCGUCAGCAAGUCCUCUGCUCUCCGCGUUUCCCUUAUUUCUACCGCGUGUGGAGAGUGCGAGACUCACUGAGAAACAGAGAGACAGAGAGAGGGGUAACCGUGGAGUCCAUCUUGCGGCGGGGACUCCUCCGGGGCUUGUGCGUCUUGCCGACCACCGGCGGCCUGUUCGCCGGUGAGUUCCUGCAGCGGCCCGAAGAGGCACGUGCUCGCAGGGGGAGGGGGGAGGCGCCGGAUCUGGCGGGACAACGUGUGGUACCUUGUAUGGGAUGAAGUGAAGGCUAUUUUAUUAAUCAAUCAUCGUAUUAUGUGCACAAUAAGCUUUUGCUAUGCUUUCACCGUCGAUGCCCACUGGUUGGAUCAUGCUUCUGUUUAUGAGCUCAUUGAAGUAACUCUCUCCUAGCUCAAAUUGGGCCAAUUUCUCGUUUGCAUUACAUAUAAAACCUUCAGCUAUCCAUCUCCAUAUCAGCCUGUCUCUCUUAAUUUUGUAAUAUUUUGGAAAUAUGCUUAAAUAUCCUUGAACAUAAGUGAAGAAAAACCAUUUGCAUGGCACUCAGUCAAAGGCAAGAUUUGAAGAUCAAACAUUCCAAAGAGCAUGACAGGUAGCAGCGAUGCCACAAGUGAGGUUUGUUGCAAUUGUUGAUUCAGUGUAGCUUAUGCUGAGUGUUCCAAGUUCUACAUGUGCUGGAUUUAGAAUAUUACGCUGUAUCUCUCCGUUCUUGCCAAUCAUAAUGAUUCAAGAGCACUGCAUUUGUCUUGGUGUUUUGAUUUGUUUUCCUUUUGCAACGACAGGAAGCUCUCAUUUUAUUUAUAUCCACUUAUGCUGAAUUGUAUUGUCAUGAAGCUCACAUUGUAUUUGUACCCACUUGUGCUGAAUUAUAUUGUCACUUCACUUGAGUCCAGAACCAUCAAGUUUCUGUGUUGGCUCCUGCAAUUGACUGAUGAUUAACUUGUUUUCCCAUUUUUUUAUGUUGUAAGGUUUCUUGCUGGUUAAUCUGCCUGAUUUUAACUGUCCAUUGCGUCUCUUAUAUUUAUAACAGCUUUCAGUGUCGUUUUACUCUAGACUGGAAUAAAAUUUUAGGUCAUUCAGUUUGUGCAAUGUUCUGAGAUUUCACCUUUUAGGUCAUUAAUUUUGUUUAUGGCCCUCUAUGUGUCACAUUUGUUUGAAUUUGACUGCACAAAUGUGGCAGUGCUACGAGCCUGAAUUGGUGCCUAUGAUUUUUUUGAUGUAAAAUGGUUUGGAUAAGCAAGCAAUAUGAUAACCUUUUAUAGCUUACAGUUACAACAUCUUAACUGUUACUCUUUUGGCUUUCUGACUGCAGCAGGAAUGGCACAAUUGAGGGCAUUGUCCAUUUAAUGCCUGUUUCUGUUGAGCGUUCAACGGUUCAAGUUCUCCUUUUCUUGGAUUUAGUUAGGAUAUAUGCUUCCAUUCUUGUCAACUGAGACGGCCUGAGAACACUGCAUUUGCCUUAGUGUUUUGAUUUGUCUUUCUUCUGCAACACAGACAUGAGAGUUCUCGUUGAGAUCCUACCCACUUACUCAGCAGUGCCUGCUGUACUUUGCUCAUGAAGAACUUCUUUUCUCCAUUUCUCUGUUUUGUAAGGAGUAUAUAAGUAAGGUGUACUGCUGGGCUUGGACUAUGUCUUUCUGUUUCUAGCAGCUUGCCGAGUCGUUUUACUCAAUACUUGUGGACUGAAAUUCAAGUCGUUCAGUUUGUACAACAUGUCGUAAUUUCACCUUUUAUUUGUAGAUGUUGCUAUUGCCUUGCUUCUUGCGCAGUUUUCUUGAGGGCAAGGCGGGGCACCGGCCGUGCAGGCGACGGCAGCAGGAGCGGCGGAGCGCCAUGAUACCCGGGCACAACCUUGGUCGGACCGCCCCGCGACACCCCACGCCGGAGCGCGGCGGCGGCGAGCGGUCCGAGAGCCCAAGGAGGCCUUUUUGCCAGGCGUCGUCGGGGGAGCCGACGCGACCGUGAGAGAGUGCCUGAACUACCACGCCGAGGUGGCAGCCCGCUCCACGCAGGUCACAGCCAGACGAGCCGGAGGCUCCCGGCGCACGAUCGGCCGGACGGCGGCCACGUCGUCAGCCUCCGCGACAUCGGCCCAAUGCAGCUCCGAGGCCAGCGCGGGGGUCGGGGUGGGAAAGGAGGGGGCGGCAGGCGGCGCAUCCGAGGAAGGGGCUACCGUGGGGAGGCGCUCCGGCACCAAGGACGCCGGCGACUCGGCGAGUCGCCCUCCGGGGCGCAGGAGCUGCAGGCGGAGUCCAUCUCCUUUCUAAUAUCCUUUGAAGCAUAAAGCAAUCGAAGUUUGAUGUUCCAUCACGUGUAUUUAUUAUAGCGUGCUCAAUCGAUCCCCAGGUGUCUGAUAAAUGUUCUCUCGUUGCUGUGUUGUACGUAUAGGCUGGCAAGGAUGUGGCGAGUGAUCGGCGACGGUGCAACGGUGAUGAAGCGCAUGGCGGACAUGGCGAGCGUGCUUCUUCUCGUUCUGGGCCGUGCGGUCGAUCAUCAAGACUUGUAUGCACAUGUGCUAUCCAGAUUGAAGAAGGCAACUGAAAAAGGAUUCCCAUAUUAGGCGGCGCCUGAUCUGCUGCCUAUUGUGUUCAUGUGCAUCUUUCCUCGACAUGUCUCUGCUUUCUUUGUGCUUCUAACCAUCUGAUUGAUUUCAAUUCUUUUAUGAUAUGCAUGUCAAUAUAAAAAUAAGUUCAUCACUGA